CCUACGGGAGGCAGCAGUGGGGGAUAUUGCACAAUGGGGGGAACCCUGAUGCAGCGACGCCGCGUGGGUGAAGAGGAGCCUCGGCGCGUAAAGCCCUGUCAGCAGGGAAGAAAAUGACGGUACAUGAAGAAGAAGCCGCGGCUAACGACGUGCCAGCAGCCGCGGUAAUACGGAGGGGGCAAGCGGUAUCCGGAUUUACUGGGGGGAAAGGGGGCGCAGACGGCGCUGCAAGCCAGGAGUGAAAGCCCGGGGCCCAACCCCGGGACUGCUCUUGUAACUGCGGGGCUGGAGUGCAGGAGGGGCAGGCGGAAUUCCUGUUGUAGCGGUGCCAUGCGUAGAUUUCAGGAGGCACCCCGGUGGCGCAGGCGGCCUGCUGGACUGCAACUGACGUUGCGGCCCGCAAGCGUGGGGAGCAAACAGGAUUAGAUCCCCCGGUAGUC
rnacentral:rRNA from 1 species